ACUCAAAGGAAUUGACGGGGACCCGCACAAGCGGUGGAGCAUGUGGUUUAAUUGGAAGCAACGCGAAGAACCUUACCAAGUCUUGACAUCCCCCUGACCGGCGAGUAACGUCGCCUUUCCUUCGGGACAGAGGAGACAGGUGGUGCAUGGUUGUCGUCAGCUCGUGUCGUGAGAUGUUGGGUUAAGUCCCGCAACGAGUGCAUCCCUUAUCCUUAGUAGCCAGCAUUAAGAUGGGCACUCUAGGGAGUCUGCCAGGGACAACCUGGAGGAAGGUGGGGAUGACGUCAAAUCAUCAUGCCCGUUAUGAUUUGGGCUACACACGUGCUACAAUGGCGUAAACAAAGGGAAGCGGCCCUGCGAAGGUGAGCAAAUCUCAAAAAUAACGUCCCAGUUCGGACUGUAGUCUGCAACCCGACUACACGAAGCUGGAAUCGGUAGUAUUCGCGAAUCAGAAUGUCGCGGUGAAUACGUUCCCGGGUCUUGUACACACCGCCCGUCACACCAUGGGAGUCAGCAACGCCCGAAGUCAAUGAACCAACUCGCAAGAGAGGGAGCUG
rnacentral:rRNA from 1 species